rnacentral:rRNA from 1 species
CAGUCGCCGCGGGAACACGUAGGUGGCAAGCGUUGUCCGGAAUUAUUGGGCGUAAAGCGCGCGCAGGUGGUUUAAUAAGUCUGAUGUGAAAGCCCACGGCUCAACCGUGGAGGGUCAUUGGAAACUGUUAAACUUGAGUGCAGGAGAGAAAAGUGGAAUUCCUAGUGUAGCGGUGAAAUGCGUAGAGAUUAGGAGGAACACCGGUGGCGAAGGCGGCUUUUUGGCCUGUAACUGACACUGAGGCGCGAAAGCGUGGGGAGCAAACAGGAUUAGAUACCCCCGUAGUCCCUGUCUCUUAUAU